CCUACGGGAGGCAGCAGUGGGGAAUAUUGCACAAUGGGGGGAACCCUGAUGCAGCGACGCCGCGUGAAGGAUGAAGUAUUUCGGUAUGUAAACUUCUAUCAGCAGGGAAGAAAAUGACGGUACCUGACUAAGAAGCCCCGGCUAACUACGUGACAGCAGCCGCGGUAAUACGCAGGGGGCACGCGUUAUCCGGAUUUAUUGGGUGUAAAGGGAGCGUAGACGGGCCAGCAAGUCUGAUGUGAAAACCCGGGGCCCAACCCCGGGAGUGCAGUGGAAACUGCGGGCCUGGAGUGCCGGAGAGGUAAGCGGAAUGCCUAGUGUAGCGGUGAAAUGCGUAGAUAUAAGGAGGAACACCAGUGGCGAAGGCGGCUUACUGGACGGUAACUGACGGUGAGGCGCGAAAGCGUGGGGAGCAAACAGGAUUAGAUACCCGAGUAGUC
rnacentral:rRNA from 1 species